GACGAACGCUGGCGGCGUGCUUAACACAUGCAAGUCGAACGGAAAGGCCCUGCUUUUGUGGGGUGCUCGAGUGGCGAACGGGUGAGUAACACGUGAGUAACCUGCCCUUGACUUUGGGAUAACUUCAGGAAACUGGGGCUAAUACCGGAUAGGAGCUCCUGCGGCAUGGUGGGGGUUGGAAAGUUUCGGCGGUUGGGGAUGGACUCGCGGCUUAUCAGCUUGUUGGUGGGGUAGUGGCUUACCAAGGCUUUGACGGGUAGCCGGCCUGAGAGGGUGACCGGCCACAUUGGGACUGAGAUACGGCCCAGACUCCUACGGGAGGAAGCAGUGGGGAAUAUUGCACAAUGGGCGGAAGCCUGAUGCAGCAACGCCGCGUGCGGGAUGACGGCCUUCGGGUUGUAAACCGCUUUCGCCUGUGACGAAGCGUGAGUGACGGUAAUGGGUAAAGAAGCACCGGCUAACUACGUG
rnacentral:rRNA from 1 species